AUUGAACGCUGGCGGCAGGCCUAACACAUGCAAGUCGAACGAGAGGCGGACGGGUGAGUAAGGUCUGGGAAACUGCCUGAUGGAGGGGGAUAACGACUGGAAACGGUAGCUAAUACCGCAUACCAUCAGAUGGGCCCAGAUGGGAUUAGCUGGUUGGUGGGGUAACGGCGCACCAAGGCGACGAUCGCUAGCUGGCCUGAGAGGAUGACCCGCCACACUGGAACUGAGACACGGUCCAGACUCCUACGUGAGGCAGCAGUGGGGAAUAUUGCACAAUGGGCGCAAGCCUGAUGCAGCCAUGCCGCGUGUAUGAAGAAGGUCUUCGGGUUGUAAAGGACUUUCAGCGGGGAGGCGUUACCCGCAGAAGAAGCACCGGCUAACUCCGUGCCAGCCGCCGCGGUAAUUC
rnacentral:rRNA from 1 species